UGCGUAGGUGGUCGUAUUAGUCGUUUGUUAAAAACCGGGGCUCAACCCCGGGAAUGCGGGCGAAACGGUACGACUCGAGAGCGUGAGAGGUGCAUAGAACUCUAGGUGUAGGGGUGAAAUCCGUUGAUAUCUAGGGGAAUACCGAAAGCGAAGGCAGUGCACUGGCGCGUUUCUGACACUGAAGCACGAAAGCGUGGGUAGCGAACG
rnacentral:rRNA from 1 species